rnacentral:rRNA from 1 species
UACGUAGGGUGCAGGCGUUAAUCGGAAUUACUGGGCGUAAAGCGUGCGCAGGCGGUCUCUUAAGACAGGUGUGAAAUCCCCGGGCUUAACCCGGGAAUGGCAUUGAAUACUGCAGAUCUGGAGGAUUGGAGGGGGGACUGGAAUUCUUGGUGUAGCAGUGAAAUGCGUAGAUAUCAAGAGGAACACCAGUGGCGAAGGCGAGUCCCUGGACAAUACCUGACACUGAGGCACGAAAGCCAAGGGAGCAAACAGG